UGGGAGUGGACCAAUACAAAAUUACAAAUGAUGUCAGAAUUUCACACAAGUUUGAUAUACUUAAAUCACAUAAACUUAUGUUGUGUUUACCAACCCGGAACGGGAGAAUCAGAAUGAACAACUUCUUUACCUAUUAAAUUGAGGCUCUGAUAAGGAAGGAGCUUUGCGGGCCCGACAUAAAUUUUGGAUUGAUUGCUGGAGUUCUGAUUCCAGGAGGGAGAUUGAAUCAAACCCCAUUCCUGGAAUGACAAAAUUAUCCCACUACUUUUAAUAUUCACAAAAUAUUCUUUUGGAAAUUAAAAAAAAAAAAACUGAAAACCUAAGCAACAGCUGCUGCCCUAAGGGAAAUGAUCAGACUCGUCGUCGCCGUUGCUCGUGCUUGUCACCGACAUCAUAGCUGCUCGUGCUCAUUGCCUACAUCACAGCUGUUCGUGCUCGCGCUUGUCGUCGCGUUUCUCCCUUCGUCACACACUUGUCGUCGUCCACACAUCGCAACAGCCCGUCACCGAUUGGAUUUGCGCACCUCCGUCACGCAUCGUCGUCGUCCCACAUCAAAGCUCGUCAUCAGGUGACCUAAUUUGCGCUCCUCAUCACCGAUCGUCCCCACAUUUAUUUGUUAAUGCAAUUGUUAUUAAGAUUAAUUAUUUCUGUUUUGGUUAUUAAUUAUUACUAUUAUUUAUUACUAUUUAUUUAUUAUUAAUAAUAUUAUUAUUACUAUCAUCAUCAUCAAAUGACAAUAUUAUAAAAAGAGCAUUUUAAUAAAUUAAAAUUGUUCAUUCCAAUUCCCA
rnacentral:lncRNA from 1 species